UGCGAGACCGAUAGCGAACAAGUACCGUGAGGGAAAGAUGAAAAGAACUUUGAAAAGAGAGUUAAAGAGUACCUGAAACUGCUGAAAGGGAACCGAAUCGUAUCCAGUGUCUAUAAUCCAUAGCAUAUUUCAUUGGCGAAUGAGUGCGUGCGGCGUUUUGGAAGUGGUUUCCGCUCCUGUCGUUGUUGUGCAUUUUUUGCUGGUGCCCUGUGCUGUGGUGGGACGUCAGAGUCAGUUUGUAUGUUGCGGGAAAUGGUUAUCGGGGAGGUAGGUCAUUUCGGUGGCUGUUAUAUCCUGGUGACUAGUCGUCGUGGCUGAGACUGAGGUGCCUACAAUGUGCUUUCGAGUCUGCGGAUUUCUCGUGUGGAUGUUUGCUUGGAUAGCUUGCUAUGUUGGCGAAUAAGUCGUGCGAUUGAGAUUUGUAGUAACUUGUUGCUGUUCGGGACUUUGAA
rnacentral:rRNA from 2 species